rnacentral:tRNA from 1 species
GGUCCGUUGGAGAAGCGGUUCAACUCACAUGCCUUUCACGCAUGCAUUCACGGGUUCAAAUCCCGUACGGGCUACCA